rnacentral:rRNA from 1 species
ACACGGAGGGCGCAAGCGUUGCUCGGAAUCACUGGGCGUAAAGCGGGUGUAGGCGGUCUAGCAAGUCAGAUGUGAAAGCCCACGGCUCAACCGUGGAAGUGCAUCUGAAACUGCUAGACAUGAGUGCCGGAGAGGGAAGUGGAAUUCCUGGUGUAGGGGUGAAAUCCGUAGAUAUCAGGAGGAACACCGGUGGCGAAGGCGACUUCCUGGACGGCCACUGACGCUGAGACCCGAAAGCGUGGGGAGCAAACAGGAUUAGAAACCCUAGUAGUCC